rnacentral:misc_RNA from 1 species
UAUAAUCAAUCCCCAUGGGUUUCGUUACCUGGUGGUGGACUUGGACUUGGGUGUCUGCCGUCUGGCUCACCUCAAAGAUGUUAGUGGGAUAAGCUUAGCUGCCUGUCGCUCGACGUGAUAAGUUUCGUCGGACCUGGCUCCUUAUGCCCGCUCAUAACCUGCCCUCGGGCAACACUGUAU